GUGAGACCUAUGCGCACCUGAAGCAGCAACGCCGCGUGAGGGAUGAAGGGCUUUUGCUCGUAAACCUCUGUAGUGAGGGAAAAAAUUUCCACUCUGUGGAAUAUGAUGGUACCUCAAAAGUAAGCCCCGGCUAACUACGUGCCAGCAGCCGCGGUAAUACGUAGGGGGCAAACGUUGUCCGGAUUUACUGGGUGUAAAGGGUGCUCAGGCGGUUUUGUAAGUCAGAAGUGAAAUCCUAGGGCUUAACUCUGGAACUGCUUUUGAUACUGCAAGGCUUGAAUGUGGAAGAGGAGGAUGGAAUUUCUGGUGUAGCAGUGAAAUGCGUAGAUAUCAGAAAGAACACCAGUGGCGAAGGCGGUCCUCUGGUCCACUAUUGACGCUAAAGCACGAAAGCGUGGGGAGCAAACAGGAUUAGAUACCCUGGUAGUCCACGCCUUAAACGAUGAAUACUACACGUUGGGGUUAAACUCAGUGUCGCAGCUAACGCAUUAAGUAUUCCACCUGGGGAGUACGAUCGCAAGGUUGAAACU
rnacentral:rRNA from 1 species